AUGGUAGAAUCCUGUAGCUUCAGGGCUGGCAGGGGUCUGAAGGAAUAUGGAGUUCAGUUUCAUUUCAUAGAUGAGGAAACCAAGGUCUGGAGGGAGUUUCUGAGGCCACACAGCCAUGGCUGGUUGCGCCAGCUGUGCCUGUGGCCGGCCGCUUCCCAGCCUCUGUGUAGAGCCCUUCUCACUGCCUCAGCCCCGCAUUGCUUCCCUGCUGUGCCUCACCCCGGCUUCCAGCUCUCCUCACCCCAUUGCCCUCCCUGCCUGUUUGCUGUGCGUGGGGUGUGGGAGACACAGGAGAAGCUUUCAAGAGUCACGGUGAUGUUCCAGCCCCGGGCAGAGCUCACCCCGUCUUCCACCCUGCAGAACGUGACCAGCAGUUCCUCUUCGAGGUUUAAGGCUGCACUGACCUGGAUACUGAGCAGCAACAAGGAUGUGGGCAUCUGGCUGAAAGGGGAAGACCCAUCUGAGCUAGUGACCACCGUGGACAAAGUGGUCUGCCUGGAGUCCGCCCGGCCCCGGAUGGGCAUGGGCUGCCGCCUCAGCCGCGCCCUGCUCACCGCGGUUACCCAUGUGCUCAUCUUUUUCUGGUGCCUGGCCUUCCUGUGGGGGCUGCUGAUCCUCCUGAAGUACCGAUGGCGGAAGCUUGAAGAGGAAGAGCAGGCCAUGUAUGAGAUGGUGAAGAAGAUCAUAGAUGUGGUUCAGGACCACUAUGUGGACUGGGAACAGGACAUGGAGCGCUACCCCUACGUGGGCAUCCUUCACGUGCGCGACAGUCUAAUCCCCCCACAGAGCAGGCGGCGCAUGAAGCGAGUAUGGGACCGCGCCGUGGAAUUCCUGGCUUCCAAUGAAUCUCGGAUCCAGACCGAGUCCCACCGAGUGGCCGGGGAGGACAUGCUGGUGUGGAGAUGGACUAAGCCUUCCUCCUUCUCUGACUCGGAGCGAUAGGACAGGGCCUAAUCAGCCAGCCUGGCUUGGCUGUGCCACCCAGCUGGGGCAAGGACACAGACCCUCGGUGCUCAUUCACACCUGCCUUGAUUGCCCUCCUGGUCUCCAUUCUGGGACACAUGGGCUUACUUAGGGGAGCCAGGAGAACGGGGAAGCCCCUCCUCUAUGCCAGUAUUACUGACAGAAGGGAGAAUGGCUUGUUCUCCCUGGAUAAAUCCUGGAGGUUCUGCACUCAGCUAGACAGCAGACAGUGAUCCUGAAGUCCCUCGCUUGGGAGGUGGGUCGGGUGGUGGGCUGGGGUAGCAGGGGCCUGGGGAAAGCUUGGCCCAUGUGCCUUUGUGCUGUUCCCAGCGAGCUUAAGGGUGAGGGGAGGAAUCCCGCCCCACUCCUGCAUGGGCCUCUUUGUCCAGAGGAGGAGAUGUUAGAACUUACAGAACAGAGGCGGCUGGGAUCCGGAAGGGGCGGAAGCUCCAGCCACAGCUGCCUGUGCCUCAGUGCAUCUCACAGGUCAGCAGUGCAGCCUGAGCCGGGGUGGAGCACAGCCUCAUCACGACUGUGACCGGGCCUCUCCUGACCGGCUGGCCAGAACAGAUAGGGUGCAGCAUCAUGGCUGCACACUGCCCUCUGCAGGCCUCAUGGAGCAACGUGGGCCAUUAGCACUCUGCUAGGGAAGACCUGCUCCAAAAACACCCAGUGGGAGGCCUCAUUGGCUGAGGGAGGCUUUCCAGCAACUGGUCCAGCGGGCCUCACCCACAGCAGCUGGAGUAGCCCCUGGAGGUGACGCAGCUGCCCCUUUUGGACCUAUUGCUGUUCUGUUUCUUAAUAAAGUACCAUCUCCGUCUAGCCAUACGUUCACUGCCUUGUGUCUGGGUGGCCGCAGGCCUAGGGACUAAGCAAGCAGGUGCCCGCGGCAAGGCCUGUUCGCACAAUCCGGCUCCAGCCAGAAGGCUUUUGUAUUGAGGGUGGAGUGUCAGAAAAAUAAAAUAUUUAUUGAGAACGGAUGUGGUUUUGUUUGUGGUGCUUCCUCUGUCCCCCAAAGUAAUGGUGAGCGAUGAGGCUGGGCAGGAGCAGGCAGCCCUGGCCCUGGGCCUCAGGUAAGCUGCUGAAAGCCACGUGAGCUGGGACUCAACACUAGGCUGACAGCUCCAGUCCCAUGUUGACCUGCCUGCAGCCCCAAAGCUUCCAGGGCUUCUGAGUAGAAGAGCUGAGGGAAGCAGCAUGGAGCUGGUGAAGCCCUUGAAGGAGUCAUGCUGGCCAUCUCUGGGCCCAGCCAUUGGUGAUGGCUUCCAGAAAACCAUGGAAAAAGCAAGCUAUUGGCACCUUCUCUUCACAGGGUCCCGAAGGCUAGUGGCCCAGAAUCAUCAAGGUAACCUAGCUGUGUGCUGUGGUCACAGCCAGUCUUGGUCUCCUUCCUGUCUGCCCCUGGCCCCAUCCGACUGACCAUGUGAGCCUUUGGGCUCCUGCUACACACCUGCUGGCUGAGCUGUAGCAGGCCCAGUGCACAACUUGGGAAGAAGCC
rnacentral:lncRNA from 14 species